rnacentral:rRNA from 1 species
UUGGAGGGCAAGUCUGGUGCCAGCAGCCGCGGUAAUUCCAGCUCCAAUAGCGUAUAUUAAAGUUGUUGCAGUUAAAAAGCUCGUAGUUGAAUUUCGAGACCGGUUUACUGGUCGUGCUUUUGUACGUACUGGUAUUAUUGGUUUCUCCUUUCUGACGAAUCAUAAUGCCAUUAAUUUGGUGUUUUGGGGAAUCAGGACUGUUACUUUGAAAAAUUGAGUGUUUAAAGCAGGCUCACGCUUGAAUACAUUAGCAUGGAAUAACGAAAUAGGACGUUUGAUUUUAUUUGUGGUUUCUAGGAUCGACGUGAUGAUUAAUAGGGAUAUUGGGGGCAUUAGUAUUCAAUUGUCAGAGGUGAAAUUCUUGGAUUUAUUGAAGACUAACUACCGCGAAAGCAUUUGCCAAGGAUGUUUUCAUUAAUCAAGAACGAAAGUUAGGGGAUCGAAGACGAUCAGAUACCGUCGUAGUCUUAACCAUAAACUAUGCCGACUAGGGAUCGGAUGAUGUUAAUUUUUAAUGACUCAUUCGGC